rnacentral:rRNA from 2 species
AUGUUAGCGGCGGACGGGUGAGUAACACGUGGGUAACCUGCCUGUAAGACUUCGUUUGACUUUUUUGGGAUAACUCCGGGAAACCGGGGCUAAUACCGGAUGCUUGUUUGAACCGCAUGGUUCAGACAUAAAAGGUGGCUUCGGCUACCAGCAAAACUUACAGAUGGACCCGCGGCGCAUUAGCUAGUUGGUGAGGUAACGGCUCACCAAGGCAACGAUGCGUAGCCGACCUGAGAGGGUGAUCGGCCACACUGGGACUGAGACACGGCCCAGACUCCUAUCGUUUGUGACCCCCGGGAGGCAGCAGUAGGGAAUCUUCCGCAAUGGACGAAAGUCUGACGGAGCAACGCCGCGUGAGUGAUGAAGGUUUUCGGAUCGUAAAGCUCUGUUGUUAGGGAAGAACAAGUGCCGUUCAAAUAGGGCGGCACCUUGACGGUACCUAACCAGAAAGCCACGGCUAACUACGUGCCAGCAGCCGCGGUAAUACGUAGGUGGCAAGCGUUGUCCGGAAUGCCCUUUUAUUUCGUAUUGGGCGUAAAGGGCUCGCAGGCGGUUUCUUAAGUCUGAUGUGAAAGCCCCCGGCUCAACCGGGGAGGGUCAUUGGAAACUGGGGAACUUGAGUGCAGAAGAGGAGAGUGGAAUUCCACGUGUAGCGGUGAAAUGCGUAGAGAUGUGGAGGAACACCAGUGGCGAAGGCGACUCUCUGGUCUGUAACUGACGCUGAGGAGCGAAAGCGUGGGGAGCGAACAGGAUUAGAUACCCUGGUAGUCCACGCCGUAAACGAUGAGUGCUAAGUGUUAGGGGGUUUCCGCCCCUUAGUGCUGCAGCUAACGCAUUAAGCACUCCGCCUGGGGAGUACGGUCGCAAGACUGAAACUCAAAGGAAUUGACGGGGGCCCGCACAAGCGGUGGAGCAUGUGGUUUAAUUCGAAGCAACGCGAAGAACCUUACCAGGUCUUGACAUCCUCUGACAAUCCUAGAGAUAGGACGUCCCCUUCGGGGGCAGAGUGACAGGUGGUGCAUGGUUGUCGUCAGCUCGUGUCGUGAGAUGUUGGGUUAAGUCCCGCAACGAGCGCAACCCUUGAUCUUAGUUGCCAGCAUUCAGUUGGGCACUCUAAGGUGACUGCCGGUGACAAACCGGAGGAAGGUGGGGAUGACGUCAAAUCAUCAUGCCCCUUAUGACCUGGGCUACACACGUGCUACAAUGGACAGAACAAAGGGCAGCGAAACCGCGAGGUUAAGCCAAUCCCACAAAUCUGUUCUCAGUUCGGAUCGCAGUCUGCAACUCGACUGCGUGAAGCUGGAAUCGCUAGUAAUCGCGGAUCAGCAUGCCGCGGUGAAUACGUUCCCGGGCCUUGUACACACCGCCCGUCACACCACGAGAGUUUGUAACACCCGAAGUCGGUGAGGUAACCUUUUAGGAGCCAGGCUUUAAAUUUUCGCCGCCGAAGGUGGGACAGAUGAUUGGGGUGAAGUCGUAACAAGGUAGCCGUAUCGGAAGGUGCGGCUGGAUCACCUCC